CCACAGCUGUUUCCCAAAUUAAAUAUGGCCGCCGCAGUCGCAGACCUCCAGUGGCUCACUUCCUGGCCGCUACUCCUCACACAACCAAUAGGACUCUGUGCUCUGACGAGAAAGGCGUGAGGUCUGAGUGCCAGCCAAUCACAGCGCCUGGAACCACCGUCAGGGAGCCAAUGGAGUGUCAGCUUCGAAACGUCAGCAGGCUGCGGGGGUUCGAUCGCGACAGGCAGCGGACUGGCAAAAUGUCCCGUGCAAGCGGGCAGGAGGACUCCGACACGGCGGACGAGGCCGUGAGGGGGACCUGCGAUGAUGCCUCUAUUUGUAAGAGGUUUGCCGUGAGUGUUGGGUACUGGAAAGAUCCCUACAUCCAGUAUUUUGUGAGACAGGCCAGGGAACGCAAAGCUCCCGAGAUCAACAGAGGUUACUACGCCCGGGUACAGGGAGUCAAUCAGCUUCUCUAUGCCUUCCUCAAGAGGACAGAGUGCAAUUGUCAGAUUAUCAACCUCGGGGCUGGGCUGGACACUGCUUUCUGGAGAUUAAAGGAUGAAAAUAUCCUCCCCAAGAAAUACUUUGAAGUGGAUUUCACUGCAAUAGUUGGAAGAAAACUGUACAACAUAAAGUCCAAGCCUCCGUUGUCAAAGCCGAUAAUGGAAUGUCACACCGGUGCGUCGCUGCUUACAGACGCUCACAGUAUGGACUCCUCGCGAUACUCCAUCAUCGGCGCGGAUCUGAGAAACGUGAAAGACGUGGAGGAGAAACUGAAGAAAUUUGGCAUGGACCCACAUCUGCCGACGCUUCUGGUGGCGGAGUGCGUGUUAGUAUAUAUGACCACGGAGCAGUCAGCCGGCCUGUUGAAGUGGGCUUCCAGCACGUUCCCUACAGCCAUGUUUAUAACCUACGAACAGGUGAACAUGGCAGAUCGCUUUGGACAGAUUAUGAUCGAGAACCUGCACAGGAGACAGUGUAACCUGCUCGGAGUAGAGGCCUGUCAGUCACUCCAGUCUCAGGAUGGAAAAACUGGAAUUCUUAGAUGAGAAGGAGUUACUGGAGCAAUUGCUUCUUCAUUACUGUAUCAGCUGGGGAAGUAAAGAUGCACAGAAAUUGGGUCUGGCAGAAAUAAAAUUUUGACGACACUGAAAAGGGGGCACCAGUUGUGGUUCUUGCUGGAACAGCUCUGUUUAUGACGUUGACUGAUGAAGGGGAGAGACGUUUGGUUUCUUCCUAUUUUGGGGACAAGAGAACAAGACGGUCUGACGUGAUUGCACUGAUGCCAUCGGCCAUGUGGGACACUCUGUUUGUACUGUUUUAAAUAAAUUUCAGUUCUUUGGGA